rnacentral:rRNA from 1 species
UACGGAGGGUGCAAGCGUUAUCCGGAUUCACUGGGUUUAAAGGGUGCGUAGGCGGGCAGGUGAGUCCGUGGUGAAAUCUCUGAGCUUAACUCAGAAACUGCCAUGGAUACUAUUUGUCUUGAAUGUUGUGGAGGUAAGCGGAAUAUGUCAUGUAGCGGUGAAAUGCUUAGAUAUGACAUAGAACACCAAUUGCGAAGGCAGCUUACUACACAAAUAUUGACGCUGAGGCACGAAAGCGUGGGGAUCAAACAGG